rnacentral:rRNA from 1 species
UAACGGAUUAUUCUUUAUAGCUUGCUAUGAAGAAUAAUUAGUGGCAGACGGGUGAGUAAUGCAUAGGAAUCUACCUAGUAGUAUGGGAUAGCCACUAGAAAUGGUGGGUAAUACUGUAUAAUCCCUGCGGGGGAAAGAUUUAUCGCUAUUAGAUGAGCCUAUGUUAGAUUAGCUAGUUGGUAGGGUAAAGGCCUACCAAGGCGAUGAUCUAUAGCUGGUCUGAGAGGAUGAUCAGCCACACUGGAACUGAGGUACGGUCCAGACUCCUACGGGAGGCAGCAGUGGGGAAUAUUGGACAAUGGGCGCAAGCCUGAUCCAGCUAUGCCGCGUGAGUGAGGAAGGCCUUAGGGUUGUAAAACUCUUUCAGUAGGGAAGAUAAUGACGGUACCUACAGAAGAAGUCCCGGCAAACUCCGUGCCAGCAGCCGCGGUAAUACGGAGGGGGCAAGCGUUGUUCGGAAUUAUUGGGCGUAAAGGGCAUGUAGGCGGUUCGGUAAGUUAAAGGUGAAAUGCCAGGGCUUAACCCUGGAGCUGC